GACGAACGCUGGCGGCGUGCUUAACACAUGCAAGUCGAACGGAAAGGCCCUGCUUGCCGGGUGCUCGAGUGGCGAACGGGUGAGUAACACGUGGGUGUUCUGCCCCUUACUUUGGGAUAAGCCUGGGAAACUGGGUCUAAUACUGGAUAGGACCAUGCUGUAGGUGGUGUGGUGGAAAGAUUAGUUUCGGUAAGGGAUGAGCUCGCGGCCUAUCAGCUUGUUGGUGGGGUAAUGGCCUACCAAGGCGUCGACGGGUAGCCGGCCUGAGAGGGUGGACGGCGACAUGGGGGCUGGGAUACGGCCCAGACUCCUACGGGAGGCAGCAGUGGGGAAUAUUGCACAAUGGGCGCAAGCCUGAUGCAGCGACGCCGCGUGGGGGAUGACGGCCUUCGGGUUGUAAACUCCUUUCAGCCAUGACGAAGCCCUUGUGGUGACGGUAGUGGUAGAAGAAGCACCGGCUAACUACGUG
rnacentral:rRNA from 1 species